AGUGGAUGGGGAGCAACCUAGUUGUGCGUGUGUAAAGGUAGUGCCAAGAAAAGCGAUGAUCAUGUUGAAAAUCAAUUCCCGGUACCCGAAACCGACACAGGUGGGCAAGUAGAGAAUACUAAGGGGCGCGAGGUAACUCUCUCCAAGGAACUCGGCAAAAUGACCCCGUAACUUAGGGAGAAGGGGUGCCACCGAGAGGUGGUCGCAGUGAAGAGGCCCAGGCGACUGUUUAGCAAAAACAUAGGUCUCUGCAAACUCGAAGGAGGAGGUAUAGGGGCUGACGCCUGCCCAGUGCCGGAAGGUUAAAGAAGUUGGUCAGUUUUAGGAUGAAGCUAGCGACUGAAGCCCCGGUGAACGGCGGCCGUAACUAUAACGGUCCUAAGGUAGCGAAAUUCCUUGUCGGGUAAGUUCCGACCCGCACGAAAGGCGUAACGAUCUGGGCGCUGUCUCGGAGAGAGGCUCGGCGAAAUAGGAUUGUCUGUGAAGAUACGGACUACCUGCAUUUGGACAGAAAGACCCUAUGAAGCUUUACUAUAGCUUGGAAUUGUGUUCGGGCUUCCUGUGCGCAGGAUAGGUGGGAGGCGUAGAAGGUAUUCUUGUGGGGAUACUGGAGCCAACGGUGAGAUACCACUCUCAGGAGGCUAGAAUUCUAACUUAAUUAAGGACAGUUUCAGGUGGGUAGUUUGACUGGGGCGGUCGCCUCCAAAAAGGUAACGGAGGCGUACAAAGGUUCCCUCAGACUGGUUGGAAAUCAGUCGAAGAGUGCAAAGGCAGAAGGGAGCUUGACUGCGAGAAGUACAGUUCGAGCAGGGUGGAAACACGGUCUUAGUGAUCCGACGGUGCUGUGUGGAAGGGCCGUCGCUCAACGGAUAAAAGUUACUCUAGGAUAACAGGCUGAUCUCCCCCAAGAGUUCACAUCGACGGGGAGGUUUGGCACCUCGAUGUCGGCUCAUCGCAACCUGGGGCGGAAGUACGUCCCAAGGGUUGGGCUGUUCGCCCAUUAAAGCGGUACGUGAGCUGGGUUCAGAACGUCGUGAGACAGUUCGGUCCAUAUCCGAUGUAGGCGUGAAAUAUUGAGAGGAGCCUUCCUUAGUACGAGAGGACCGGGAAGGACGCACCGCUGGUGUACCUGUUAUGAUGCCAAUUGUAAACGCAGGGUAGCCAAGUGCGGAGAGGAUAACCGCUGAAAGCAUCUAAGUGGGAAGCCCACCUCAAGAUGAGUAUUCUGGUGUAAGGUCACGGGAAGACGACCCGUAAAUAGGCACGAGGUGGAAGUGCAGAGAUGUAUGAAGCCGAAGUGUACUAAUAGACCGUCGGCUUGACC
rnacentral:rRNA from 1 species